CUAUCUACGGUAGGAGCCCAGAACUCGGAUGCAAAUGACUGAACCAUUUAUAAUCUUCCUGGUCUAAUCAGGCAGGGGAAGUUCUAAGUUUAAAUAUAAGCACCCACUUUGAACUUGUGCGGAACUUACUGUAAGAAAUACCCGGUAUCGCAGCAGGGGUAGAUGGCGUACCUCCCAGAGCAAGGAUAUUCAAUGCUAAGUUUCUCACCGCGCUGUUAAUGUGCCCUCAUCACACUGCGCAUGCAUGCAAUCCCGCAUCAUAAAUAACGGAUUUACAAGCUUAACUCCUACUCAGCGAGAGCACACGUGUGGAACGUGGCUGAGUGACUGUCACCGUGAGACCCUCAGCUCCGGCAAUGCAGGUUUCCUCAGCCUGAGGCUGGGGCUUCUCAGGGUGGGCUGGAGAAAGCCUCUCCGCCUGGGCCUGACAUCUUGCCUAAUGAGCAGAAACACUAUUUUGGACUUAAGGAUCCAGAGCCCCCUGGCCGCAAAUCGUGGAGUAAAAGAAGCCAAGCAUUAAGGUUUUCCCCAGACACUUAUUGACCGGAACGGACUGGAAAUGAUUCACUUUCCUCCCACUUCAGACAAGUUGAGGAAACAUUAAGACUUUCCCUCUACCCUCUGAACAAUGGAAAGAGUCUAGAAAAGCACGCCGUAGUGGCUGACCACAUGGCUGGCUGCCCCUCUCUGUUUUAAGAUGCUCCUGUGAGAGGCUGAGAGCAGCUCUUCCCCAGCUGGAUUUAUAGAAAUGGACAGAGAGCAGAGAACAGCCCCCAUCCCUUCCCAGCUUCCCCCGCCCCACGCCUCACAAACCUGUCUCCAUGCAGGCGGCCUCCUCACCGGCAGCCUCUUCGCCUGGCGCUGUGGCACAUGUGGGAGAAGCGGAGUGUAACCAGUCAACGGCGGAUCUCUUCUGUCGGUGGGAAGGGCAUUUCAAACUUGCUCAUACCAACUUGGCACUUUGGGAUUUGUCGGCGUCCGUCGAUAGGAGGCAACAGCGGAGUCACAGCUCAAAUGGGAACAGAGUUUGUCUCAUUCAGGUUUUGAGACCCCCAGUGGCUCUCCAGGUGACUGCCCAGCUGGGAUGUAAUAAUGCUGGAUGUGGGGGUGUGUGUGGAGGACCAGUAUCCUCUCUUUCAAAUACUACUUCCUUAAUAAUAGCUGUGCUUCGGGCUGUCAUAUCCCCCACUACCACCUCAUGAAGGGGAUAUUUCCAGGGCUCAAGCAGUUAGCAGGUGGUCACUGGGGCUUGAACCCAAGACUUUGAAGUCUAGGUAGGAGAUUAAUCUCUUUGCCAGGUGUCUUUUCACUCAGCAGUUGGGGUACUGCACCAUCAGAUGUGACCCUUGAGUACCCUGAAGGCUGCUAGUCAGCCACACACCCCUCUUCCUUUUUCUUACUGGGAUCAGGAUCACACUAGAUCUCCUAGACUCUCUUAGAGUGGGUGUGGUUAUGUGACCGAGGGCUAGCCAAUGCACAGUGAGCAAGAGUGUCAACCCCCUCCAUUUCCCCAAAGUGUGAAUCUCAGGGCCCUCUCUCUUCAGGCAGGGCUGAACCGGCAGACAGCGAUUUCCGGGACAGCCUGGGGAUUCAGGCUCUGAGAACAGCUGGUUCUCAAGUCAAAAGGAGGCUUGGUCCCCGCGCCACCAUCUUUCUCUUCCUCCAGACACCAACAGUAUAUCCUUACUGGCUUAACCUACUUAGAUAUGAAGGCUUAUCAGCUGUAACAAUUAAUGUUAUCUUAGGCAAUGUAACUAGCACCUUCCAGGAAGGAAUGGAAAGCCACCAAGGAACUGAAGAAGCAGACCUGUGAUUAACUGUUUGGAGUGAUGGGCCGGGCAAGCCUGGUCUUUGCUGUUACAGGGAUUCAGGUUUGGACACAGGCUUCAUCAUAGCCUACUCGAGAGAGCCAGAAUAUCGAAGUUUUUUUUUUUUUUUUUUGUAAAUUAGCUGAUUUCUGGAAGUUAUAAUGAUGCAUCUUUCUUAAUGAUUUUAGGUCAUUUAACAAAUUUUAUUCAACACACCAUCCUAGUGACUCUUCUAGAUGCUGGAGAGAAUAAACAAAACAAAACAAAACUCCAAACACCAGCAAGCAGUGGGCAAAUCUCUGCUUAAAAAAUAGCUUAGGUGAGGUAGUGCUCUUUGGGGGUAGGGACAAGAGUGAAUGAACAAAUGCGCUAGCUUCUGACUAAUGACACAGAGAACCGAUAAAGAGAAUAAGGGGGCAAGAAGGCCAGCUUGGCAGAGAGGAGGUGCCUCUGGUUAAGGAUAUUUGAUCACAGACUUGAAGCGUGUGGAGGAGUAACAGCAAGUAGAGAGAUGGGCAGGUUUAAAGGUACCUGUGACAUACAGGCCGAGCAGAGGGGAGGCUGUGAUGGGGAGGGCAAGAAGCGGUGGGUGGCGGUGAGCAUCCAGCACUCAGCCUGCGUGGAUGUUAGAGUUCUUUCUUCUCACCCUCUAGGCCCUCUUCCUCCCUCCAGAAUCGAUCAAUGGCUUCUUACUUCCUGGGAAAGUCCUUAUUGCUAAAGACAAACCACAAAAUUAAUAAAAAUUAAAACAAACCACCUAUAAAAUUUCUUUACUACAUGGCCCGUGUCUGAAUUCCACCCAGAGGCUUUAUCCCUGGAGUCUAAGGCUCUGGGCUCCUUCAUCAAACAGAUAUUUCUGGCCCAGGCUGCUAGGGUCAGCUCUUUUGGAAAUCAUAUCUUAGAAGGGUUGAUGCAAGAGUCGCUGAGGUGAGGAGGGGAGAAAGUACUGAGAUGCAGGUGUCUGGACAUGGUGCCGUGAAGACUAAGUGAAGGCUGGGUGGUACUCUUGCUUCAUAGCUCCUCAGUGUCUCAACUUGAGGUGUGAGUCAGAGGAACUCCGUCUGUAGAUCUCACCGAUGCCAAGAAAGGCUUGCUCACCACUUACAAGGUUAUUUAGUGUUGAAAGAGAAGACCGCUACCCUCAACCUGUUACUACAGCCCAGGGGAGAGAGCUCCACAGAUGUCAAAGGUCAAGUAUGCCCCUACCUCCUGUGUGCUCCUCUGUCAAAAUGCCCACUGUCAGCCCUCUUGAUUCCAGCCAACAGAGGCAACUCUGUUUCAAGAAGUCGGUGAAUUGAUUGAAUGAUAUUUAUUCAUCCCAGUGAUUCUUCUGCCUCUGGAGAGGUAAAAACAAAUUCAAGGCUAAGCUUCCAGGAAGACUGCCCCAACCACACAGUCAGUUGAUUUGAAAUCAUCACAGAAUCACCAAAGAAUGAAAAGGCGAGACUGUCGAUGGCACCCUCUGCUCGGCAGCCUUCUGAGGCCCUGGGCCUCAGGGGAAAGGGAGCCCUUGGCAGAACCUUCUGCCUUGUGUCGCUCUCUUUCUCACUUCUGACACAGAAUGAUAUCAGUGUGUGCAAAGCACACCUAUGUUACUAGUGUACAUCUGACUGGAGAAGAAGCUUGGAGCUGGAGCUGUGUCGGUACGGCAUCAGCACUCCUACCCCCUCCAUGGGCAAAGGCCAGGAGAGCUUACAGAAGGCCCUUGGAAGAUCCGUUCCUGAACAAAAGACCCCAGUUACCUUAGUCGGCCAAGAAGAGAAUGGUGUCUAGGAUGGUGGUCUCAAAAUGUCACCAGUGACCACAUCAACUGGACAUGUCGGAGGGGCGGCUGGGUAUGGGAACUGGGACAACCCAGCACCCCCUAUAUCAGCUUGGCCUUUCUGACGUUACUCUACCCUUCAAAGAGUGAAAGACCUUCUUGGGAAAUGAUGGGGAAACCAAGGGAAAAAGUCAUCCAAGUUUGGUUUACAUGAGGACUUGCUUACCAAAUUAUCCCAAGGCUUGCCCAAACCCACAGCUUAGAAGAAUGCAGAAUUCUUUUUGAGAGAGUUGGGCUGACAGGAAUUAAGGAACAUUUUCCACCAACCCCAAGCUGGACACCAAACAGAUGUGGCUUUGGUUCCUUACUGCCUUAGAAGGCUCUCCCCAUCCCCAGCUUACGAACUUCAAGUCUCAGGGAGAUAAAUGGUUGUUUACUUUUUUUUUUUUUUUAAAUCUGACUUGGUACCAUCCAUGAAUUACACACAAAUGAACAGCACAUUGGAACCCCUGGCUUAGGCAACUAUACACGAGCCAGAACUCUAAGAUAACACAGACAUGAAUCCCACAACACAGCCACAGAUGACUCUGGUGUUUCCCAAGUCACUUUUACACAAAGGGCAUGGCUUCUUGGCAGGGCAUGCAUGGUUAGAAAGGGCACAUUAGCAACGCCUGUUUCCCGAUGAGCUGUGGCCUGUAGCCCUGCCAAGUCUCCGACCAUCCCUUGUACCACUGUACCUGGGGCCUGCUGUCCGCUACCUGGCAUGCCACGCCUCAAAGUAGGCAAGCCAUCCUUUUUCGGGGAGAUUUUUGUUCUUGAUGUGCGUCCUGCUGUUAGCUCCUCCCUACUUCUUGAGAUGGAGUGUGGGGCAGUAGCAUAUGGAGCCUGACUCUUGGGUUGCACACUCCCUGCAAAAUCUGACGCUUUAAAAGGCUCCAUCCGGCCUGUGCUGGUCCCUAAGCCUGUCUUGCUUUAAAUUUCCCUGAUUAGUUUCUGUUCUCCAGCAACAUAUAACCCCCUUUUUCUAGCUCGCUAACCUCAGUGGUAGCUCUCCCCAUGUUAAACAAUGGUCUGAUUUGGCAGGGAGAAAGGCAGUCAAUCGUUUCCUUUAAAUCUUAAUGUUUUAGGCCCCAGGAACAUUUGAAGUACCUAUUUAAUGAAAAGACUUCGGGAGAAAGCCUAGGUAAGAUCUUCAAGGCUCUAAUUGCUCCCUGGAGAAAGCUGUCAGGCCGCAUAGCCUGGCUCAGGUCGUGUUUGCAGAACAGGAAGAGUAAAAACAAGGCAGAAGUCGGGAGCGGAGGUUCAGGGGCCGCCACCACCCAGACCUCUUGGCCGGGUAAGGAUUUCUGGAAUCAUGCCUGUGUGGUCUCCUGUGUGUACCUGCUGAUUUGACCACUGCAUCGCCAAAUGGCCAAACAAAUAACUUGCAUUUUCCUGGGUUUGGUUGCCUUAUAAUAAUAUGGACCCAAAUUACAGUUCUCUCUUCUCUUUCAUUUAUAUACAAAACCCAAAUGACACAAACAAAGCCCUACGCUCCGUUUUCCCUUUGAGCCUCCACCAGAUCCCUUUGUCUGUGCGUCGUUUAUUUAUUGGUUAUCCAGAUAUUUGAGACAGGCCUCCUGGCUCAGGACGGCACUGUGCUGGGCACAAGGGUUUGCUCGUAUUCAUCACAGAUGAAGAGGCAGGAGAACGAACUUCUGCCCAAAGAAUGGGAGCUGAGAGGCUCCAUCUCUGCAGGGAGGGCCCCCCUAAGGUGGUUUCCCUAGAAGACUGCCCUCCGGGGCCAAGUCUGGACUGUGUAGGGUAGCACGGGGGAGCUCUGCCAUACAAUAAUAAUGUGCGCUGUCUGCCCAAGGCAUGUGGAGUGCAAGGCACUUUGGAAAUUAGGCUCCAAACAACUUCUUUAAUUGAGACAAAAAGCCCUUUGUGUGGGCCUUCUUCCCUCAGCCCACAGAGCAUCCGUGUUGACUGCGACAGCAGCUCCCGUCUCCCCAGAGCGGCCUCAGGUAGAAACGCUGCCUGACCGCCAGUGGCCAUGCAUCUGUGACCAUUACACGGGCCUAAGUGGGUUUGGGAGCUUUACCUUAGGAAUUAAGUAAGAAAAAUGAAGGCACAAGCCGGGCUCACGGUAGCUCAGACAAUUCCGUCUUCCCUUGAUGUGAAUAAGACCUAAAUUGGGAAGUCUUUGGCCCAUGGCGAGGGCAGAUAAACGUCUCGGAUUUGAUGUAAUCCCAGACCUCAGACUUGAAACUCAGCUUGACCCUUCCCUUUGAGCACAGGGAAGGAAGCAGAGGAAGGAGAGUGGUUCAGCCAUAUGUCAAGUCAGGAGAGAAAAUGACAGCUAGCGCAAGGUGGAAAUGUGCAGAGACAGGGGUGGAAGCAACAAAAGAAAAUUCUACAGAGUUAGACACAACGUGUCCUUUAGGAGACAAACAGGCCGACCUGAGAGGGAAGAUAACGCCACGAUAGGAUCUGUGGAGGGACCGGGAAUGUCUGCUGCUUCGGAAUCCAAAUAACCACGAGGCCGCUAAGUGUACAGCCAGCCAAAGCUGUACUCAGGAGCCCGAGUGCCGCGGAAGGUGUCAACUCUCACGGACCUACAUUUCACACAGGGGCCCGGAGGCAGGGGAGUUUACAUGAGUAGCCCUGUUUGCAGAAAGCGUAGUGUCUGUGCCCUUUCUUGGGGAUGAUAUCUUCAAUGUCUCAGUCACAUUUCUAGCUGCCAUCUUGUUGGGUGAUGAAUGUCUGAGGAGAAGGUAAAAUCGUCUUUUCGUGAACCUUCUUUGGGCUUUACAUAUGAAAAUACAGGCUGUAAAGGCUCUGCCCCUGCUCCUGCUUUAGGGGCGGGAAUGCUGAAUCGCUGAGCAGAAGGCUCAAGGCCACCCAACUAGUAAAUAGUAGACUUGAGAUGCAGCUCAGUGGUCUCCUAUAAAGACCGGGCUAGGCCGCAGUAGCAGAGGGCUCCAGGAACCUCCUGCAGCUGGUCAGGACAGGUUAACAUUGGGCUCCCACAUUCUCCAGCUUCCCAUGGGCUCCCAGCGUGCCCGCCAGACCAAACUAGACAAUAACAAUUUCAAGGUGUUCAUAGUGAACGGUGGGGCUAAUCACCGAGUACCGCUCAUCCCCUUGCCCCAUCUGUGAAAUAACAAGGAAGGAUGCCCUGGAAACCCCACCAUUAGAAUUCACGAAGGCUUGCCCAGCCUUCAAGGUGUGGCAGGCUCAGCAGGUGGUGGCAGGCAUGGGGUGGGGAGUCGGGAUGCCUGCCUCCCAAUUUGGUGUCCUCCCUCACAUUCCCCUUAUCCCUUCCACUCCACAGGCAGUGCACGUUUUUGAAGUUUUCUGCUGUCUUCCUUUUUCUCCUUCUCUUCUCCCGAGCUCUUACCACUGGUGUGGUUUGACCUGCUGUCCCCAGUCUAUACACUAGCCAUCACACAGGGGCACAGACUGGACCAGCAGCUCACCCUUGCGGAGUCCCCUCUCAGCCUCUGUGUCUGUCAGCUCUCCAGAGAAGCAGGACAAGGAGUGGCGGACAACCUCCUGAGGGCAGGUUGGCAGACUGUGUGCGCUGUGGGGGUGGUCAAGAAUUUUUUCUUUUUCAAAGAAACCCUUGAACCUCUAUGGCCUGCGUACUAAUUGGAGGAAGCCCACCCAAUACUGAGAAUCGUUUCCUUUUACUUGAGCCAGGUAUGGGCACCAAUCACGCCCUCAACUGGUAGAAAAUACACAGGAUGGCCCUGUCAGCACACAUGCCAUUCUGCCCGUAUAGUUCUGCUGGCCACCGCGAUUCUGGUCCCAUUGGGUGUCCUUCCUCUUCUUUCAUCCUUUCUUCCAUCAGCUGGUCUUCAGGCUCCAUCAUAGAUUCUUUGUUCAUUAUAGAAGCCACUGCCCCAGGCAUUCUUGCCUCCUGGACACAGCCCAAUUCACCCUUCAUACUAGCGGUUGUCUGUUGUGUUUCUAGAAACCAUUGAGCAUGUCCGUGGAAAGGGUCAGUCUCUUUACUUCUCCCUUGAUCUGUUCACAUCCUUUCUUCCUUGUUCAUCCUCUUACCUCAACCUGAAACCCAUCUGCCAUUCCUGACCCAUGUCCCAUAAGUCUUCAUGUUCGGUUUGCUCCUCAAGUCCUGCUAAUAUCUUUGUCUUCAUGUAUCUCAUUUGUCAAGCCAAAGAAACACACACUGGUCAUCUACUUGCGUUUUGGAACCUGAGGCUGGAGAGGAUUUCAAAUGCUACGGAACUGGUCAGCUGACUUUGUUGUGGAGAAGGUCCUGUGUCGGCGUGACAGCAGCGUUCCUGCCAUGGUGCCCAGAGGCCAGAGAGACUGGAUCUUCGAGGAGCUGGAGUGCCGGCAGUUGAGAGCCACCUGCUGUGGCUGCUGGGAGUCACCUCGAGUCUUCUGGAAGAGCAGUACCUGCUCUUAAUCUAUGAAACAUCUCUCCAGUCCAAAUAUAUAUAUGUUUUGAACCUUUGGUUUUCUAAUUCUGUUUAGAAUGACAUGUAACUAAGGUUUGGAUUUCCGUUUUAUCCCUCAACUGGUCUGGAACUACAACUACUUCCAAGCGAUUUUAUUUUCUCCUAUGAAUUCAAAAUGCCCCCUUUCUAGAUUAACUUCUAUUCUGAUGGCAGGCCUGUUUAGGUACUUUUUAUUCUACGCAUUGAUUUAUUUACUACAUUGACAACUUGUUUUGGAGGUUGAAGUUCAUUCUUGAUGUUUUACAAAUGAAUUUUUAAAAUUUAAAACGGUGCUUUUUUUUUUUUCUGAAUUCCAAAAAUUUCCCAUUGUCGUUUUUGGGUCAAUGUCCGUUAACUCAGGUGGAAUUUGCAACUCCACAACACCACCCCUCACCAUUAAGACAUGGAGUGGCAUGCCCGCAGUCUUUGCUCUCCGUGGACCCAUGUCAAGCUUGGCAUGUCCAUAGGUCCUGCGCAUUGUUCCUGUAGACAGAACCCCUUACCUGUGACAGGUGCUAGGUGCUCACGGCUGCUGCUCAGAAGUAGCAUCGGAAGUAGAUGCUUUAACUCUCUUCUGUGAUGACUGAAUUACUAAUUUCAGCGGUUGACUGUCUUAACCGCCUGUGCCAGGUUGUGUGAGUCUGGUUACCUUUCCCACCCUUGGAGUCUUACUUCUUGCCAUAUUUCUGAAUUGGAUAAAUGUCUAGAAAAAGUUCCGCUAUGAUGGAAGUAGUAUGCACUCUUUGCCCGGUUGGUUUGGGUGGUUCCACUGGUUCUAAUACGUGACUGAUCAAAGUACCGACUGGCUAUUGUGUCCUCCUCUCCCGCACAUGCUUCUGUAUUGAAAUCAUGCAGAUUCACACAACAAACACGGGGUCCUUACCAAAAUUACAUAGUUUGGAAAAUUUAAUAUGUCAGUAGGAUGGCCAAGAUUACUAUUAUCAUUAUCAUUAUUAUUUUGAAAGAAUUUCCCAUUAAAAUUUCUUUCUAAUCCCUUGAAAGUCUUUUUAGUUUCUUCUGUAGAAUUCAUCUGUCCAGCUUCUGAAU